rnacentral:rRNA from 1 species
UUAAAAAGCUCGUAGUCGAAUUCUGGUCGGGAUACUGAGCUUCCUAGCGAUGUCAUCCCAGGUCAUCCGCCUGUGAUCGAUUUACUUCCUUUACCAGUUGACUUCAGGAGCAGGCAUUUUACUUUGAAGAAAUUAGAGUGUUUCUAGCAGGCUUUCGCUUGAAUACACCAGCAUGGAAUAAUGGAAUAGGACUAAUUCUUUUUAUUGGUCAUUAGAAUUAGUAAUGAUUAAUAGGGACAGUUGGGGGCAUUCGUAUUUAUCAGUCAGAGGUGAAAUUCUUCGAUUUGAUAAAGACGAACUAAUGCGAAGGCAUUUGCCAAGGGAUGUUUU